rnacentral:lncRNA from 1 species
GGAUGUCUUUGUACGUUUAAUAGCUUCCUUUAUUUUGCUGUUUACUGCUGUUUACUGAAACCACAGGGUACUUUUACUUAGAAAAAAAUGACUGUUUUUUUGGAGGAGUGUUUUUUUUUUGUUGUUGUUGUUGUUUGUUUGGUUUUUUUUAAGUCUGCUGUAGUAGUUGCUUUAAUUACUAUAAAUUUUCUUUCAGCCUUUGCUGAAUUAUCUUUAAAUAAUCACCUUGCUACUUCUUAGCACUUUUUCAUUUUAGGUACUCCUCUGAAUAUCUUAUCCUUCUAUUGGGUUCUCAGUUGAAACAACUAAACAAGCUUGAAGAGACAGAUCUAAAAAGAAAGUUGUAUCCCAAUAGUGUGAUAUGCCUCAUUUUUAAGAUCUAGUUAUGUAAAAGAAUUCAAAAUUAAGUACCUGUACUCUUUGUACAGUGGUUUAUUAUAAUCUUGUUUUAGUCUUCCCAUAAGUAUCCAGAAAGAGUAGCUCAUUGAAAAGGGAAUUGUUUAAAAACCCUGGGGGAGCACUAAAGACAAGAUUACCCAAUAAAUUACAUCUCUCUCUUCAUCUGAGAUGUUAUACAGAAGUAUGGAGAAAUACAUUCUACUCAGUAUCCAAAAUCCCCUCUAGAAUUGAAGGGUUAUGACAAUGGGGACAUACAACAUAUCUGCCCUAGGGUGCCCAUCCUCACUGUGAGCAGAUGCAACCCCAGUCUAAAUGACACCAUUCAUGGGAUGGUGCAGCAAUACUCUUUCCUGAGGUGGCAGGGCAGAGGCUCUGGUCUGUGAGUUGGAAAAUAUUUGCCUUUUCUCUCAGGGAUUCAUACUCCCAAGGCACACAAAUUCUAAUAAAGAAUUCUGCCUGCUUACCCAAUCAAUCCUUAUUCUGCAUUUCUUUCAGGAACACACAAACAGCUGCUAAAGAAGGCAUGGAGGUUAUCAUGCAGUGCUGUUCUCAAGGUCAGCCCACAAAUCUGAAACAAGACAAAUUACAUAGAGUUGGUGUAACAACAUUGCCAGUCACUACCUUAUUUUAGUGCAAAAAAGAUUUUAUAAAAUAUUCAUUCUGAAAUUCAAAACCCUACAGUGCUGAAUCAAACGUUUCUAAAACAACAUCUCCAGGUAGAUAUGCUUCCAAAAGUGUUGUGUUAUUAUUUUUUUUUUCUAGUUACAGCUCAGCCAGCUGUCAUACAAUAAAUAGAAAAUGACAACAAAAGAAAGAGAAAGA